AUUGAACGCUGGCGGCAUGCUUUACACAUGCAAGUCGAGCGGCAGCAAGCCUUCGGGCGUUGGCGAGCGGCGGACGGGUGAGUAAUGCAUAGGAAUCUGCCUGGUAGUGGGGGGAUAGCCCGGGGAAACUCGGAUUAAUACCGCAUACGCCCUACGGGGGAAAGGAGGGGAUCUUCGGACCUUUCGCUAUCAGAUGAGCCUAUGUCGGAUUAGCUAGUUGGUGAGGUAAAGGCUCACCAAGGCGACGAUCCGUAACUGGUCUGAGAGGAUGAUCAGUCACACUGGAACUGAGACACGGUCCAGACUCCUACGGGAGGCAGCAGUGGGGAAUAUUGGACAAUGGGGGAAACCCUGAUCCAGCCAUGCCGCGUGUGCGAUGAAGGCCUCGG
rnacentral:rRNA from 1 species